rnacentral:rRNA from 3 species
GAGUACGGCCGCAAGGUUAAAACUCAAAUGAAUUGACGGGGGCCCGCACAAGCGGUGGAGCAUGUGGUUUAAUUCGAUGCAACGCGAAGAACCUUACCUACUCUUGACAUCCAGCGAAUCCUGUAGAGAUACGGGAGUGCCUUCGGGAACGCUGAGACAGGUGCUGCAUGGCUGUCGUCAGCUCGUGUUGUGAAAUGUUGGGUUAAGUCCCGCAACGAGCGCAACCCUUAUCCUUUGUUGCCAGCGGUUCGGCCGGGAACUCAAAGGAGACUGCCAGUGAUAAACUGGAGGAAGGUGGGGAUGACGUCAAGUCAUCAUGGCCCUUACGAGUAGGGCUACACACGUGCUACAAUGGCGUAUACAAAGAGAAGCGAACUCGCGAGAGCAAGCGGACCUCAUAAAGUACGUCGUAGUCCGGAUUGGAGUCUGCAACUCGACUCCAUGAAGUCGGAAUCGCUAGUAAUCGUGGAUCAGAAUGCC